UACGUAGGCAGCAAGCGUUGUUCGGAGUUACUGGGCGUAAAGGGUGUGUAGGCGGUUGGAUAAGUGUGGUGUGAAAUCUCCCGGCUUAACUGGGAGGGUGCGCUACAAACUGUCUGACUAGAGUGUGGGAUGGGAAAGUGGAAGUUCCUGGUGUAGCGGUGAAAUGCGUAGAUAUCAGGAAGAACACCCGUGGCUAAGGCGGCUCUCUAGUACGUGACUGACGCUGAGACGCGAAAGCGUGGGGAGCGAACAGG
rnacentral:rRNA from 1 species